GGAGAGAUGGCUGAGUGGUUGAAAGCACCGGUCUUGAAAAUCGGCGUACGUUAAUAGCGUACCUAGGGUUCAAAUCCCUAUCUCUCCGCCA
rnacentral:tRNA from 1 species